rnacentral:rRNA from 1 species
UACGUAGGGUGCAAGCGUUGUCCGGAAUUAUUGGGCGUAAAGAGCUCGUAGGCGGUUUGUCGCGUCUGCUGUGAAAACCUAAGGCUCAACCUUGGGCUUGCAGUGGGUACGGGCAGACUAGAGUGCGGUAGGGGUGACUGGAAUUCCUGGUGUAGCGGUGGAAUGCGCAGAUAUCAGGAGGAACACCGAUGGCGAAGGCAGAUCUCUGGGCCGUAACUGGACGCUGGAGGAAGCGAAAGCGUGGGGAGCGAACAGG